rnacentral:rRNA from 1 species
UGAACCUGCGGAGGGAUCAUUACCGAGUUUACAACUCCCAAACCCAAUGUGGACGUUACCAAACUGUUGCCUCGGCGGGAUCUCUGCCCCGGGUGCGUCGCAGCCCCGGACCAAGGCGCCCGCCGGAGGACCAACCAAAACUCUUAUUGUAUACCCCCUCGCGGGUUUUUUUAUAAUCUGAGCCUUCUCGGCGCCUCUCGUAGGCGUUUCGAAAAUGAAUCAAAACUUUCAACAACGGAUCUCUUGGUUCUGGCAUCGAUGAAGAACGCAGCGAAAUGCGAUAAGUAAUGUGAAUUGCAGAAUUCAGUGAAUCAUCGAAUCUUUGAACGCACAUUGCGCCCGCCAGUAUUCUGGCGGGCAUGCCUGUCCGAGCGUCAUUUCAACCCUCGAACCCCUCCGGGGGGUCGGCGUUGGGGAUCGGCCCUGCCUUGGCGGUGGCCGUCUCCGAAAUACAGUGGCGGUCUCGCCGCAGCCUCUCCUGCGCAGUAGUUUGCACACUCGCAUCGGGAGCGCGGCGCGUCCACAGCCGUUAAACACCCAACUUCUGAAAUGUUGACCUCGGAUCAGGUAGGAAUACCCGCUGAACUUAAGCAUAUCAAUAA